AUUGAACGCUGGCGGCAGGCCUAACACAUGCAAGUCGAACGGUAGCACAGAGAGCUUGCUCUCGGGUGACGAGUGGCGGACGGGUGAGUAAUGUCUGGGAAACUGCCCGAUGGAGGGGGAUAACUACUGGAAACGGUAGCUAAUACCGCAUAACGUCGCAAGACCAAAGUGGGGGACCUUCGGGCCUCACACCAUCGGAUGUGCCCAGAUGGGAUUAGCUAGUAGGUGGGGUAACGGCUCACCUAGGCGACGAUCCCUAGCUGGUCUGAGAGGAUGACCAGCCACACUGGAACUGAGACACGGUCCAGACUCCUACGGGAGGCAGCAGUGGGGAAUAUUGCACAAUGGGCGCAAGCCUGAUGCAGCCAUGCCGCGUGUAUGAAGAAGGCCUUCGGGUUGUAAAGUACUUUCAGCGAGGAGGAAGGCAUUAAGGUUAAUAACCUUAGUGAUUGACGUUACUCGCAGAAGAAGCACCGGCUAACUCCGUGCCAGCAGCCGCAGUAA
rnacentral:rRNA from 1 species